AUUACCUUAGUAACGGCGAGUGAAGCGGUAAAAGCUCAAAUUUGAAAUCUGGUACUUUCAGUGCCCGAGUUGUAAUUUGUAGAAUUUGUCUUUGAUUAGGUCCUUGUCUAUGUUCCUUGGAACAGGACGUCAUAGAGGGUGAGAAUCCCGUUUGGCGAGGAUACCUUUUCUCUGUAAGACUUUUUCGAAGAGUCGAGUUGUUUGGGAAUGCAGCUCAAAGUGGGUGGUAAAUUCCAUCUAAAGCUAAAUAUUGGCGAGAGACCGAUAGCGAACAAGUACAGUGAUGGAAAGAUGAAAAGAACUUUGAAAAGAGAGUGAAAAAGUACGUGAAAUUGUUGAAAGGGAAGGGCAUUUGAUCAGACAUGGUGUUUUUUGCAUGCACUCGCCUCUCGUGGGCUUGGGCCUCUCAAAAAUUUCACUGGGCCAACAUCAAUUCUGGCAGCAGGAUAAAUCAUUAAGAAUGUAGCUACUUCGGUAGUGUUAUAGCUUUUUGGAAUACUGUUAGCCGGGAUUGAGGACUGCGCUUCGGCAAGGAUGUUGGCAUAAUGGUUAAAUGCCGCCCGUCUUGAA
rnacentral:rRNA from 1 species